rnacentral:rRNA from 1 species
AAAGUGGAGGCUAUUGUAACUGAAGAGAACUGGAAAGUUCCACCGUAGAAGGUAAUAGUCCUGUAAGUGAAACGAGAAGACCACGAGUUAUGAUCCAGAGUACCACGAGACACGUGAAACCUUGUGGGAAGCAGGGAGGACCACCUCCCAAGGCUAAAUACUACCUGAUGACCGAUAGUGAAGCAGUACCGUGAGGGAAAGGUGAAAAGAACCCCGGGAGGGGAGUGAAAUAGAACCUGAAACCGUGUGCCUACAACCGCUCAGAGCCCCUUAUGAGGGUGAUGAGGUGCUUUUUGUAGAACGAGCCAACGAGUUACGGUAUGUAGCAAGGUUAAGUACUUAAGGUACGGAGCCGAAGGGAAACCGAGUCUGAAUAGGGCGACUAGUUGCAUGCCGUAGACCCGAAACCGGGUGACCUAUCCAUGGCCAGGUUGAAGCGAGGGUAAAACCUCGUGGAGGACCGAACCACGUUGCUGUUGAAAAAGCAUGGGAUGAGCUGUGGAUAGCGGAGAAAUUCCAAUCGAACCCGGAGAUAGCUGGUUCUCUCCGAAAUAGCUUUAGGGCUAGCGUCGAGUAUGAGUAGUGGAGGUAGAGCACUGAAUGGGCUAGGGGGCAUAGCGCUUACCGAACCUUAUCAAACUCCGAAUGCCACAUACUUUGAGCUCGGCAGUCAGACUACGAAUGAUAAGAUCCGUGGUCAAAAGGGAAACAGCCCAGAUCGUCAGCUAAGGUCCCAAAGUGUAAGUUAAGUGGGAAAGGAUGUGAGAUUUCUAAGACAACUAGGAUGUUGGCUUAGAAGCAGCCAUUCAUUAAAAGAGUGCGUAAUAGCUCACUAGUCGAGAGAUCUUGCGCCGAAAAUGUAACGGGGCUAAACUUACCACCGAAGCUACGGGCUUGAACUUAGUUCAAGCGGUAGGAGAGCGUCGUAACCGGGCUGAAGUCGUACCGUAAGGAGCGGUGGACUGGUUACGAGUGAGAAUGUUGGCAUCAGUAGCGAGAUGUGGGUGAGAAUCCCACAGGCCGAAAACCUAAGGUUUCCUCAGGAAGGUUCGUCCGCUGAGGGUUAGUCGGGACCUAAGCCGAGGCCGAAAGGCGUAGGUGAUGGACAACUGGUUGAUAUUCCAGUACCACUACCAUCGUUAUUAUCGAUGGCGUGACGCAGGAGGAUAGUGUGUGCUAGCUAUUGGAUGCUAGUCUAAGCGUUUAGGCAGUGAGAGUAGGCAAAUCCGCUCUCAUAAUGCUGAGGCGUGAUGGGGAAGGUUCUACGGAACCGAAGUACAUGAUUCCACGCUGCCAAGAAAAGCGUCUAGAGAGAGAAGUAGUGCCCGUACCGCAAACCGACACAGGUAGGUGAGGAGAGAAUCCUAAGGCCGGCGGAAGAAUUACAGUUAAGGAACUCGGCAAAUUGACCCCGUAAGUUCGCGAGAAGGGGUGCCUACGAGAGUAGGCCGCAGAGAAUAGGCCCAAGCAACUGUUUAGCAAAAACACAGGUCUCUGCUAAAGCGUAAGCUGAUGUAUAGGGGCUGACGCCUGCCCGGUGCUGGAAGGUUAAGGGGAACACUUAGCGCAAGCGAAGGUGUGAACUUAAGCCCCAGUAAACGGCGGCCGUAACUAUAACGGUCCUAAGGUAGCGAAAUUCCUUGUCAGGUAAGUUCUGACCCGCACGAAUGGCGUAAUGACUUGGGCACUGUCUCAACUGUAAAUCCGGCGAAGUUGUAGUGCGAGUGAAGAUGCUCGCUACCCGCGAUUGGACGGAAAGACCCCGUAGAGCUUUACUGUAGCUUAGCAUUGAGUUUUGGUAUUGUCUGUACAGGAUAGGUGGGAGACUAGGAAACCAGGGCGUCAGCCUUGGUGGAGUCAACCUUGGGAUACCACCCUGACAGUACUGAAAUUCUAACUGGCGGCCAUGAAUCUGGUCACAGGACAUUGUUAGGUGGGCAGUUUGACUGGGGCGGUCGCCUCCUAAAAAGUAACGGAGGCGCCCAAAGGUUCCCUCAGAACGGUCGGAAAUCGUUCGAAGAGUGCAAAGGCAGAAGGGAGCCUGACUGCGACACCCACAAGUGGAGCAGGGACGAAAGUCGGGCUUAGUGAUCCGGUGGUACCUCGUGGGAGGGCCAUCGCUCAACGGAUAAAAGCUACCUCGGGGAUAACAGGCUGAUCUCCCCCAAGAGUCCACAUCGACGGGGAGGUUUGGCACCUCGAUGUCGGCUCGUCGCAUCCUGGGGCUGAAGUAGGUCCCAAGGGUUGGGCUGUUCGCCCAUUAAAGCGGCACGCGAGCUGGGUUCAGAACGUCGUGAGACAGUUCGGUCCCUAUCCGUCGCGGGCGUAGGAAAUUUGAGAGGAGCUGUCCUUAGUACGAGAGGACCGGGAUGGACUGACCUCUGGUGUACCAGUUGUUCCGCCAGGAGCACAGCUGGGUAGCUAAGUCGGGAAUGGAUAAACGCUGAAAGCAUCUAAGCGUGAAGCCAACCUCAAGAUGAGAUUUCCCAUAGCGUAAGCUAGUAAGAUCCCUUGAAGAACACAAGGUUGAUAGGUCGGGGGUGUAAGCAUGGUAACAUGUUCAGCUGACCGAUACUA